AUUGACCUCGGAUCAGGUAGGGAUACCCGCUGAACUUAAGCAUAUCAAUAAGCGGAGGAAAAGAAACCAACAGGGAUUGCCCUAGUAACGGCGAGUGAAGCGGCAACAGCUCAAAUUUGAAAUCUGGCUCCUUUGGGGUCCGAGUUGUAAUUUGUAGAGGGUGCUUUGGCGUUGGUUGUGGUCUAAGUUCCUUGGAACAGGACGUCACAGAGGGUGAGAAUCCCGUACGUGGCCGCCAGCCUUCGCCGUGUAAAGCCCCUUCGAUGAGUCGAGUUGUUUGGGAAUGCAGCUCUAAAUGGGAGGUAAAUUUCUUCUAAAGCUAAAUAUUUGCCAGAGACCGAUAGCGCACAAGUAGAGUGAUCGAAAGAUGAAAAGCACUUUGGAAAGAGAGUCAAAAAGCACGUGAAAUUGUUGAAAGGGAAGCGCUUGCAGCUAGACGUGCCUUGGGUUGAUCAGCCGGACUUUUGUCCGGUGCACUCUUCCUUUGGCAGGCCAGCAUCAGUUUGGGCGGCUGGAUAAAGGUCUGUUAAACGUGACUCCCUUCGGGGAGAGCUUAUAGGGCAGACGACAUGCAGCCAGCCUGAACUGAGGUCCGCGCAUCUGCUAGGAUGCUGGCAUAAUAGCUGUAAGCGGCCCGUCUUGAAACACGGACCAAGGAGUCUAACAUCUAUGCGAGUGUUUGGGUGUCAAGCCCGAGCGCGUAAUGAAAGUAAACGGAGGUGGGAACCUUUUAGGUGCACCAUCGACCGAUCCUGAUGUCUUCGGAUGGAUUUGAGUAAGAGCAUAGCUGUUGGGACCCGAAAGAUGGUGAACUAUGCCUGAAUAGGGUGAAGCCAGAGGAAACUCUGGUGGAGGCUCGCAGCGGUUCUGACGUGCAAAUCGAUCGUCAAAUUUGGGCAUAGGGGCGAAAGACUAAUCGAC
rnacentral:rRNA from 1 species